AGCGAACGCUGGCGGCAGGCCUAACACAUGCAAGUCGAACGAACCUUUCGGGGUUAGUGGCGGACGGGUGAGUAACACGUGGGAACGUGCCUUUAGGUUCGGAAUAACUCAGGGAAACUUGUGCUAAUACCGAAUGUGCCCUUCUGGGGAAAGAUUUAUCGCCUUUAGAGCGGCCCGCGUCUGAUUAGCUAGUUGGUUGAGGUAAUGGCUCACCAAGGCUACGAUCAGUAGCUGGUCUGAGAGGAUGAUCAGACACAUUGGGACUGAGACACGGCCCAAACUCCUACGGGAGGGAGCAGUGGGGAAUCUUGCGCAAUGGGCGAAAGCCUGACGCAGCCAUGCCGCGUGAAUGAUGAAGGUCUUAGGAUUGUAAAAUUCUUUCACCGGGGACGAUAAUGACGGUACCCGGAGAAGAAGCCCCGGCUAACUUCGUG
rnacentral:rRNA from 1 species